rnacentral:rRNA from 1 species
GACGAACGCUGGCGGCGUGCCUAACACAUGCAAGUCGAGCGACGAACCGGGGCUUGCUCCGGGGCAGAGCCGCGAACGGGUGAGUAACACCUGGGUGUCCUCCUCCGAUGACUGGGACAACCCGUCGAAAGACGGGUUAUUACCCGUUCUUCCCCUUGGGGGAAAGGAGGGUUCUUCCUCCCCCUCGGUAUGGGCCCGCGGCGGAUUAGCUUGUUGGUGGGGUAAUGGCUUACCAAGGCGACGAUGCGUAGCUGGUCUGAGAGGACGAUCAGCCACACUGGGACUGAGACACGGCCCAGACUCCUACGGGAGGCAGCAGUGGGGAAUCUUGCACAAAGGGCGAAAGCGUGAUGCAGCAACGCCGCGUGCGUGAAGAAGGUCUUAGGGUUGUAAAGCGCUUUCAGUUGGGAGGAAGCGUCGAACGUGAAUAGCGGGUUGGAGUGACGGUACCAUCAGAAGAAGCACCGGCUAACUACGUG